UGAGCAAUCUGCCCUUCUCAUCGGAAUAAGCGUUGGAAACGACGUCUAAUGCCGAAUACGACCUCCUUUCGCAUGAUCGGAGGUGGAAAGCUCCGGCGGAGAAGGAUGAGCUCGCGGCCUAUCAGCUAGUUGGUGUGGGUAAUGGCCCACCAAGGCGACGACGGGUAGCCGGCCUGAGAGGGUCGACCGGCCACACGUGGGGCUGAGACACCGGCCCAGACUCCGUACGGGAGCA
rnacentral:rRNA from 1 species